UGCAAGUGCUCUUAAGAAGGAUAAUCCCAG
rnacentral:piRNA from 1 species